CGGGUUCGAAGAGAGCGAAAAUAUCGCCCGCCACGACGCGUUCCUCGUCCUCCUCGCCUUCCUCGUCCUCCUCGCCUUCCCAUCCUCUCGAUCUCUCUCUGAAAAAAAAAAAUCAUCUCGGUCUCUCCUCUUGUUCUACCCACCGCCGCGGCUCCUCGUGUGCUCCGCGCCGUCGCCGGCUCCAUCCGUUGCCACUGCUCCCUGCGCCUCAUCUUCCGCCGCGGCUCCUUGCCUCCUCUACGCCGUCUGCCAGGCAGCUCCUUCGCCCUUUACCCGACCCGCGUUGCCUUCUUCCCAUCCAGGCCGGUCGCGUGCGUGGUCGUCUUCCUCAUGGACGACGACUCUCCUCAUGGCCAAGAAGAGCAGAGGCAGCUGAGCAGGAAGCUUCUCCGUGGAUCCUCAACUCCGGGCGGCAGCCGCGCGAGCUCGACCCCAAUGUCGAUCUGCCACCAUAGCGCUCCUCCGGCCCAGCCAACCGCAGCACCAGCUUGUCUGCUUGUCGGUGGUUAACGAUCUCCAUGUUUCGUUGCUCUCAUGCUAGCUGCUCUGGUCUUGUUCUGGUGCAGCCGUGCGUGCGGUUUAGGAGCUAAUUUGGUCAGCUUUAAGGAAUACUAUUUCCUCGUUUUUUGUGGUUGGUGUACAGAUGGAAGGGCUAAGAGUGGGUGGAUUGUUUGUUUCUUGGCAAGCUGUAAUAUAUGAAAGGUUUAAAUUUCACUGAUCUCUAAUUGGCUAUUCCUUGAAUUUGUGUUCUGUUGGCCAGGCUGUGUAGGGAAAAAUGAUUGUUUGGUAAGGCCCUAUUAUUCAUUAAUCGUUCAGAAAGUGCGAAAUAUAAGGGAAGCACAUCGUAUGCCUAUCAUGAUUGUUACCAGGUUCUUGCAUCAACUAUAUUCAGUUAAUGAUUAUUCUGACUUUUGAAAUAGAUUAAGCUAUCUCCUCUUUCCCUUUUGUUCUUUUCUUUUUGCAGCCAUGGGAAUAGCAGGCAAGCCUUUCAGGGAAGAUUUAUUUAUUUGAGAGCUUUCUUCUGGUUACAGAACCAUGUUUAAAAUGAAAGUUUUCUGGAAUGAAGGAUGGACAGCAAGAACAGUUCAAAAACAUGUCGAAAAAUAGGAUGCUGAAAAGCAAUUUAUAGCAAGUUGUCAGUAGUGCUGCAUGAGGAAGUAAAAUGGAGAAGUGAGCAAAGCACUAUUUGCCACCCUUGAGAUGUCGAUAACCAUGUUAAAGGAUCUGAACCCGUAGAGUACGCUUUGGAAUGUUUGUGUGAGUUUGUCGCGUAUGUGGGAUUAUCGUGGAGGAAUAGACGAUGGUGAAAUACGCCAUGUGGACCUUGUUUUGCUGGGUGCUGAGGAUACGAUGAUCAUCAAUUGUUACCAUACCGUAGCUGUAAUUGGGAUGACCACAGAAGUCUGUGAUCUGGCCUCAGUGCACCCUGUGAAUCACGUGUGUCGACAGUUAGAAGGACAAUUACCUUUACGGGAUACAAGCAACUAUGAAAUGAAGCUUAAUAUGUGCGGUCAAAGGGCAUCCUAAUUCAGUGCUGAAGAAAUCUAUGCGAUUGGCCAGAAUAAACCACUAUGGCUAUUUUUGUUGGCACACUAACCAAGUCUUACAGGGCUGAACAAUCACUCAAUGCAAACACAAUGUGUCCAUGGUGCACAAAUACAGGAGCUUCAUGAGUUUUUAGACAGGCAAUCUUUUCUGUUGUACCUCAUUAGCCUUAAGAUUUUGUUUUUCUAUUCUGAUUUGUGCACUUCCUAGGUUGCAGUAACAAGUAUGCUUUUUCGUAUUGCACCUUACAUGAUAUGUUUGAGCCUAUAAAGCGUAUUGCUACAGCUGAUCAUCCUACUGUCCCUCGUCUGCCAAAUGUGCAACUACAACUGACAACUUUGGAGGAGCUGAAGCGAAUCAGUCCAUAUGAAUUUCCACCUGAAGAUUUUCAUUGCACUGUCACUAUUUCAAGAAUUAUCCCAGGUCAGUCCUGUUGGUAUCCUGCAUGCAACCGUGGCAAGAACUCUUGUCUUCCAGACGGUAUUGGAUAUAAGUGCUCAUAAGAUUGGUGUAUCGGCUACAAAUUUAGGGUGAGUUGAUAUCUAUAUAGUUACAGGUUUGCAACAUGCUUUUGCAUGCCUAUGUUCUUUCAUAUAUGCAGUUCUUUUUUUCGCAUUUUUGGAUGAGUCAUACUCUUAGAUAUUUGAAGAUGAUACAGAGAGAAAUGUAGUACAGUCCUGUAAGCUAUGGUUAUAUCAGGCACCCAAGCUUUUUUUUUGUUACUGAAAUAGAAGGUUCAGUCAUUUUUCCUGAACUUAGCAUUGUCUUUUCGUGAUUUACGAAUUCUCUUGCUUGCAUCAAACAUUUCACUUUUGUACUAGAUUAUUAGUAUACUCUUCUGACUAUCCAAUACUUUAAAAUAAAUUUGACGUGCCAUUUAAUUCAAUGUUUUGCUCAUAUUGAAACUAUGAUAAAUUUUCGUCUGCGAGUUAUUUAUAUGCAUUACUGGAUAAGAAAUGACCCAUGUGUAUGUGUUUUAUGAUCUUUGAUUAAUCUUUUACAUUGGUUGUUACAUAGUUUUGGAGUUCCCUGGAAAUGAGAUAAAAACCUCUUUGCCAUUUGAUACAUGCAUGUUGACAAUGCUGAAGCUGUCAAUUUUCUUGUGCAAACUUAAAUCAUUCUUCUUUGCUUUUAUCCUGUUGAGAUGGACAACAUGCUCUCAAGAAGGUAUUUGCUUGUAUAGUCACCUAAAAUAUGACCAUCUUUUGCUUCUGCACAACCAUUUCAUAUUAUAUGAUUGCAUUUUUGGUAUGCUUGCCUGUCUGGUGUGCGUGUUAGCCUUCCUUUCGCCUAGAAUCAUAUCAGAGCCUGCUUGGGUCCUGUAAGCUCUUGCAUACUUUACGUAAAAAAAAUUGUUGAGCUAAUGCUCCACUAUAGUGCCUGCCUACUCGAUUUUUGUAAUUUUUAUGUUGUUACAUAUGUGCUGCCCAGAUAUCCGAAGUGAUUCUCUUGUGGUGGGCAAUUCUGAAGUGAUUCUCUUGUAGAGGACAAUAUACUAGCUUUGUUCACUAUGUCUGAAUCUAUAUGUUGUUUCAGUUAGUAGGCUACUUUGUUUACUCUGUUUUUGUAAUAUUCAAAUUUACAAAUUGAUCCUGCCUGCUAUUCCUUGCUUCUUUUUUUUUUUUUUUGCAACCAUUGUCAGUUUGAUGAAUUGCUGUUCGGAUAUGUGGGGGUGUUGCUGUUAAUGCAUGCAGUUUACACACUUUCGAAUUUGUACAUUUGAAUUUGUUAGCAGGAAUGUGGAACUAAGAUUUAAAGUGGUAGCUAUCGACUAUUGUGGAGUCAGUAUGUAGUUAUCUAGCGUUUAUUGUACCAGAUUCAUUUUAGUUCGCUUCAUAAUGGCAUCCUGGUUCUUUUACUCAAACUUUGUACAGUGUUCUAAUAGUUCAUUUGUGUUGCACAUGCAAACAUGAAACUGGAACACAUUAAAUGUCACCUUUGCUCAAGAGUUAUGUUUAAAUUCCUAGCAGUUUAGUUUCUUCUGCCACUCUUUAUUCGGUUUUUAGGUAGUCCUUUACUGUUGGCUGAUCAAAUCUAUCAGUUAUUUCUGGCUUAUCAGCUGAUGGUCAUGCUGAAAAUAACAGGCCUAUUAGUUAUAUGCUCUUCUUCAUUGCUUCCUCUGUUUCUUCCUUCGUUUCUUUCUCGGUAUAUGUCAAUACAGGAUAUUUAGGCGAUUUCGCUUCACUUCUGCGUUUGCUUGCUGCUAUUUUUUGUACUUUGAUCUCUAAUAUAAUUUCAUGCUAUCUCAUGAUGUGGAAAAAUUUCUUUGGUUAAUUCCCAUCCUGAAACCAGGGAAGGUAUGGCUCGAUAGAUUAUCUAUUUAUCCCUGUUUAUUUUUAAUUCAAUGUAUGCAAGCUGUAGUAGAUUCUCAAUGUGUUGUCCUUAUUCAUUUUUCUUGGCUAAAUAGGUCCAGCCAUGGCCGUACCAAGUUAAUAAUGUUGUCUGUUCUUAUGCAAGGCAACAUUCCAUCCGAAUCAUCAUUAAGACUGUAAUUUGAUGAUGGAUUUGCUUACUACAGUGGUUGGAAGGUUAAGAGUUUUGAAUGUGGUUGGUGUUUCUAUGGUUUCCAGAAACAUACGAAGUGAACAUUUGGUUAUGCUUCUCAGCCUGACCACUACGAAAAAAAAUUCGCCCAUGGUUAUGCUACGAGCUCUGCAUUUUUCUUGCAAAGCGAUAAAUGUUGCAGCUUUUUAAAGUCGUACUUUCGGACUCGGUUGCGGUGAGUUCUCCGGUUAUGCGCCAAUAAUUCACUCAUUUUUCUGGGAAAUGGUUAACCUUGGUCCAGAUGCUCUAUGAGCCAUUUGAUUUUUGCACUCGCUCCAUCCUACCUUUUUCAAUCUAUAAAUAUGCAGAUAGCUGAAUACAGUAUGGAAUAUAAGACUCGAGCUCAGUUUGUAAUAAUUAGUUGCUGGAGACCGUAUGUAUCUGAAACUAUUUGAGCCUUUGAACUGAUGGUGAGCAAUGCUCACUGCUGCUAGCUUGCAUAGCUUUUUGGUGCCUUCUUGCUCUGUUCGGAAUAUGACCAUAUUCUAUUUUAUAUCCAUGAUUGUCUUAGGUCUAAAUUCAUAUAUAUAUAGCUCUAUGAUCAGCAUAGCUCCAGAGGAAAAAUAUUAAUGCUUUUUCCUCUGCAAAAUUGUCUCUUAAGAUGAUUCUUUGCCUACCGGACUAACCCAAGUUCAAAACGCCGUCUAUUGUAUAAUUGGGAGCCUUAGCAACACUCUACUGGCUGCAGAGAAAGACGCUGCAUACCAUGCACUUCUUUUCCUGCAACAGACAACAAACCUCCAAGUACGUGACUACGACUACCUCUUACUUACAAAGCUCAGGCAGAUCAUCAGACGAAUUUUGGCUCAGCAGCUUACCAUAGCGAAUGAAAUUCAGACAUUGCUUAAUGCUUGGGAGAAAAGACUAUCCAGUUAUAUGCAUCGUCAAGCAAUGUGGAAGAUACCUUGUUAUCCUAUUUCUCUCCAGACCCUACCGGCCCUUACUCAGGUGAAAUCCACACUAUGCUUUCUCAUAUUAAGCAACUCGCACGAUCUGUACAAAAUUCCUCUCGCGCCUCACUUGCAAAGGUCAAACAGUUCGAGCAACAAUACUUCAAUCUCUAUAGAUGUUUAUCUUCAGACAAUAACUCUGUUGCUUUCCAAACGCCAGGUCUAUUUCGUCUCUUUGAAUGUUUUACCUGCUUGCUAUAAAAACUUUCACUGUACCAUUUCCCUUCACUUCUUUUUAGCUUACAUGCUCUGCACCAUGACUAAAUAUAUAACCCUGCCUGUUCCUGCAGAGCUACAUCGCAUGCCGUCGUCACUCUCUCUCCAAAGUUUAUGCUCACUGAGAUGCUGACAGUACUUCAGCUUCCCAUGCCAACAUACACUCGCAUCAAAACAUAUGAAGAUGAAUAUGCCAGCUGCAUCGAAUUUUAUCCCAAUAUCAAUUUAUUCAUCCACGAUGGGCCACGACAAAAAAUCUGUGGUUUCGCACCAGCUUCAGAACAGACUGCUGAAGAAGCGGCUCCUCCAAGCGAUUGCAUAUAUGGAAUCAGAAACACACAUACAGCUCCGACAUUUCAACUACCUUGUGGAGGAAAGUGCAUUAGAUGAGCAUAGGUCUUCGAUAAAGAAGACAGAGAAGCAGACGAAGGCAAUGGGAAUUUAUCUCUAAAAAUUGGAACACUGCCAUGAAUGAAAUUGCAGCGGCUUGUGAUCUAUUCGAUUCUGAUUUCUUCUGCGAGCUGAACUGCAAUUCUGAAAUAACUUCACAAUCAGGCGUCUUGUUUGUUAUCAAGCAUAUGGAAUCAGUCAUGGCAGAAAUACGCGGGUCUCUUCAACAAGCGGCACACACCUUCCAUGAGCAUGGUGUCUGCCCAUUCAGUGCAGCUAUCGAAUAAUAGCUUCACCAUGUCGCUGGCCAAACCAGUUCCUAUCACAUACAUAUGAAGCCUCUUUGCUAUUCUAUACAUCUUUAAUUCCCUGAACUCAGACCAGCACUUUAUAAUGACAUCUCAAUGUAAAUAGUUGCCUUAACCUGUGGUUGUACAAGUCAUCUUUCCCCUAAUAUAUCUUGCCAUCCUCCCUUGCAUUA